rnacentral:rRNA from 1 species
AUACGUAGGGGGCGAGCGUUGCUCGGAUUUACUGGGCGUAAAGGGGGCGUAGGCGGCCCUGCAAGUCGGCGGUGAAAUCCCUCGGCUCAACCGAGGAAUUGCCUCCGAAACUGCAGGGCUUGAGGGCAGGAGAGGGGGGCGGAAUUCCCGGUGUAGCGGUGAAAUGCGUAGAUCUCGGGAGGAACACCGAAGGCGAAGGCGGCUCCCUGGACUGUCCCUGACGCUGAGGCCCGAAAGCCAGGGGAGCAAACGGGAUUAGAAACCCUUGUAGUCC